rnacentral:rRNA from 1 species
GAGGAAUAUUGGUCAAUGGGCGAGAGCCUGAACCAGCCAAGUAGCGUGAAGGAUGAAGGUCCUAUGGAUUGUAAACUUCUUUUAUAUGGGAAUAAAGUGCACCACGUGUGGUGUUUUGUAUGUACCAUAUGAAUAAGGAUCGGCUAACUCCGUGCCAGCAGCCGCGGUAAUACGGAGGAUCCGAGCGUUAUCCGGAUUUAUUGGGUUUAAAGGGAGCGUAGGCGGAUUGUUAAGUCAGUUGUGAAAGUUUGCGGCUCAACCGUAAAAUUGCAGUUGAUACUGGCAGUCUUGAGUGCAGUAGAGGUAAGCGGAAUUCGUGGUGUAGCGGUGAAAUGCUUAGAUAUCACGAAGAACUCCAAUUGCGAAGGCAGCUUGCUGGACUGUAACUGACGCUGAUGCUCGAAAGUGUGGGUAUCAAAC